CCUACGGGGGGCAGCAGUGGGGAAUAUUGGGCAAUGGGCGGAAGCCUGAUCCAGCAACGCCGCGUGAAGGAAGAAGGCCCUCGGGUUGUAAACUUCUUUUGUCAGGGAAGAAGAAAGUGACGGUACCUGACUAAUAAGCCACGGCUAACUACGUGCCAGCAGCCGCGGUAAUACGUAGGGGGCAAGCGUUAUCCGGAUUUACUGGGUGUAAAGGGCGUGUAGGCGGGACUGCAAGUCAGAUGUGAAAUUCCAGGGCUCAACCCUGGAACUGCAUUUGAAACUGUAGGUCUGGAGUGAUGGAGAGGCAGGUGGAAUUCCGUGUGUAGCGGUGAAAUGCGUAGAUAUACGGAGGAACACCAGUGGCGAAGGCGGCCUGCUGGACAGUAACUGACGCUGAGGCGCGAAAGCGUGGGGAGCAAACAGGAUUAGAUACCCCUGUAGUC
rnacentral:rRNA from 1 species